rnacentral:lncRNA from 1 species
UGGACUAUCAAUCAGACAGAGAGUGUCAGCUGUUUUCAACACCCUCUUUGCCUCGUGUACGACCGCCGGUGGUCGCUGUGAAAAACAGGAGAAUGAGGAGGGCUCUGGUCGAACGGGGACUUGGAAGGCGCAUGAUCAGAGUAAAACUUUUGGAGGGUCAUGGGUCUAAACUAGAAGCCUACUAUGACUAAUCGCUCUCCAGCAAAGCGGCCUUGCACUCUUGUUUCUUCUUCACUGACCAGAUGUGGCAAACACGAAUGUUAUGAAUUUCGUUUUUGGGGUCAAUGGAUUUGGCGCUGGUUGCUGUUACUGGCCUUUUGCGACGUCUUGAUAUCAGUUUGGAAUAAUAGCUCUGGACUCUGGGGAAUCCUCACUCAUACUCAGGUAACCUUGAAGUCAACAUAUGUGAGGAGUUUUCGAUUCGUUGUAAUUUUUGCAUGCAAGUCAACCUGCAGGCAGGUCGGCCAGUUUGUCCAGACAGGAUGUCCUUCUCGCUUGAAGGUCAAGAGAAACAUUACGUAAAACUGGCAUGCGGUGGUGUAGAGGUUGGGUGAGAAUGACACGUGUUUCGUCAUUAUCAAGAAGACCCAUCCCCCAACCUGCAGAAGGAAAGGCCAGUUUGCAUUUUCUUCAAUCGAAGGUCACGGAGAUCAUUAGGUAAAACGUUUCAUGCAGUGAUGUAGAGGUUGGGUUAGCACGGGACGUUUUGCAUCAUUAUCAAGAAAGUAAAAUAACCGCAAGGCUUAAGAGGAGGGGUGAGAAAAAGUCGUAUAAAAGGCGAGAGAAAAAGUUGACAGGGAUCAGUCGAGCGAGUAUCUCCGACACGGUAAGAGUUGCAGUGCACUAUUGUUAUCCACUGCAUUCUUCAUCGUAUUGUCAAUUCUCAGUCAUGGUAAAUUAAGGCGUCGUGCUGCACUUGUGUAUUGUAUCGUUGAUGGCUGGUUUCAGCCAUGAUGUACCGAUGUCUCCUGGGUAUGGCGGAUAACAAAUCGCGACGCCGCCGUUUUACUACACAACACACGACACGACCAGUUGCUACGCCGAGGCCCCCACGUACUGCACUAAGGCUCCAGAUUAUUGUUCCACAAAUUAUGCUGCCCUGAGCUACUACACCGAAUCCCCGCUAUAUUACUCUUCCCCGAGCUACACUACCAAGGGUCGAUUACUGCACCGAUGCUCCGAAGUACUACAACACCAAGGCAAUGGAGUACUGUACAACUACAUAUCAUGGGGAGAAAAGGCGAAAGAGAUCAGUCGAGUGGUCAUCUCCGACACGGCAACAGCAACUGCAGUGCCAAGGCUCAGUAAUACACCUCUACUUAUGUUGCUCCGAUACUCUACACCAAAGUGCCUGAGUGCUGUACCGAGGGCACUAAUUUUUACAUCACCAAGGCACCGGAGUACUACACUGAAACAUACGCUGCUCCAGCUUAUUACACCGAGGCUCCCCAAUACUACACCACCAAGGCACUGGAGUACUACACCACUACAUAUCAUGUCGUAUGAAAGGAGAGAAAAGGUGAAAGAAUUCAGCAGACGAGUGAGCAUCUCCGUUACAGCAACAGGAACUGCCGUGCACUUAGUCAUCAACUUCAUUCUUCGUCCUGUUACAAGUUUUAAAUAAAGUAAACAAUGGCGUCGUGCUGCUGUUGGGUGUUGUAUCGUUGAUGGCUGGGUCGACCACUGGUGUAUUGUCUCCUGGGUAUGGCGGGUACCAAAGCACAACACUGUCUUACUAUUAAGCAUCAACUUCCGCUGCUCCAUCUUACUACACUGAGGCUCUCAAGUGCUACUCCAUCAAGGCUCCAGAUUGUUACACCACAGCUCAUGUUGCCUCAAGCUACUACGCUGAAUGUCCGAAGUAUUUGUUCCCCAGCUACACUACCAAAUGGUCGAGUACCACGUCGAGGCUCCCAAGUUCUACAUCACUAAGGCACCGGAGUACAAAAACGGUCGAAUACUACACAGAAGCAGUCAUGGUACACUAUGGCGUUGUGCCAUUGUGAAUGUUGCAACGGUGAUGGUUGGUUCGACCACUGGUGUGCCGAUUUCUCCUGGGUAUGGUGGGCGUGAACAUUCCGCAACAGCCGGUUACUACACUGAGGUCCUCCAAGUGCUACACCACAAAGCCUCCAAAACGUUACAACACGACUUAUGCUGCUCCGAUGUUACUACGCAGAAGCUCCGAAGUAUUUUCCUUCCCCGAGCUUCACUACCCUCACCACGCCGCUUACUGAACAACAACGUCAACAUCUUCUUGCUAUACGAAGGUCUUCAGUACUACGCCACAAAGGCUCCUGACUACUACACCGAGGAUUGUCACACCACUGAAGCGUCCAAGUACUGCACUACAACCUUCGUUGCUCCAGCUUACACCACGAAGGGAGCCGAGUACUACACCACGAAGGGAGCCGAUAAUUCGUACCACGUUGAACCGGAUUACUAAACCGAUGAUCCAGUUUACUACACUACAACCUGCGCUUUCUCCCAGAUACUACACCACCAAGGAAACCGAGUUACAUCACUACUUACGCUACUACCACCUACUGCACCGAAGUAUUACUCUGCCCCGAGUUAUUACACCACUAAGGCAGCCGACUAUUACACCAUAAACUACGCUUCCGCAACUUACUACAUGGAGCUUCCUUAAUGCCAGAGCCGACUAUUUGAGUAUUAUUAUUUGUCGGUUGUCUUCAUGAUCAUUGGUCACUGGGAGUUAAUUGUUGAUCUCAAAUGAGUAAAUAAAAAUUUUAAUGCGGGUAA